rnacentral:rRNA from 1 species
CCUACGGGUGGCAGCAGUGGGGAAUAUUGCGCAAUGGGCGAAAGCCUGACGCAGCGACGCCGCGUGAGGGAUGAAGGUCUUCGGAUCGUAAACCGCUGUCAGCAGGGAAGAACGGUCACGGGGCUAAGCAGCAGUGAAUUGACGGUACCGGCAAAGGAAGCACCGGCUAACUCCGGGCCAGCAGCCGAGGUAAUACGGAGGGUGCGAGCGUUAAGCGGAAUUACUGGGCGGAAAGCGCGCGGAGGCGGUAUGUCAAGUGAAGGGUGAAAUCCCCGCGCGCACCCUGGGAACUGCCGUUGAAACUGGCAACCUGGAUUGUGUGCGAGGUUAGUGGACUUC